GGAAGGCACAACAGAAUCGAGUUUCAAGACUGAAGUAGGCAUUAGCUGGCACGUCUGCCCACUUGAGCUAGAUGUCAGUAAGUGGUUGUAGACUUAGGUUGUACCUUCCACUCUUGGAUUACAAAGAACCAGACAUAAGGAUUUGAAGCUUUAGCAACAACUGUUGUGACAUAGGUGAAGGGCUGAAAAGAGCAUGAUUUCUUGAGCCAUGCUGUAAUGGGGCCAAAGCCAGGGCAGGGAUCGAGAGUUCCCUAGGAUGGCUUAAUACUGAGAGUUGCAAUAGAGCAGCUGGUAGGGGAGAAGGUGUGAUUCUCCACCAAUUUUGUAGCUGCAACUUUGAAAAUUCUGUACACAUUUAAAAGACAAGUUAAAGGUGGGUAAGUACAAAUCCCAUGUUUUUCUCCCAUCCUCUUCCUUUGACUAGUAAAUUAACUUUCUCCGUCAUAAUAUAGAUACACUAUCUGCCUUGCCCAAUAAUUGAUUGGAGAAUGCAGUCUCAUAAUUCGGGGGACUUAAGAAGGGCUGUUGCUCAGGGAUAAGCCAGCUGUG
rnacentral:lncRNA from 1 species